CUACUUUGUUUCGCAGAUAGUCUUUUUCGCAGGAUUACCUGCGAAAAUUAUGCCUAUGCAUGGUCUUGUGUCUUCCAUUUAUGGUCAUUCUCGACGCAUUCUAUUGGCUAGUAAAUUUCGCAGUGAGGUUAAAAAUUCGCUCCAUAUAUGGUUAUAGAACAUACGCAAGAAAGUAAAAAACAAAACCAAAAAAAAAACAAGGCUAGCGAAGUUGUGAAGGUGAAGAAAGCAUGAUGUUCCUGUCAAACUUGGAUCUUUAUAACUUGUAUAGAGCUUCAUGAAAAUUCUCUAUACUCGAACCAUCCAAUUUUUGUAUCUGUAUGUAAAUCUUCAGAUUUGUUUUCCUGUGUAGAAAGCACUUUCAAGUUUUCAGUUAGCUAGCUAUUCAUCCUCUUCUGUAACUCUGUGUAGACAGCAGAUCUUGUCAGCUGUGAUUCAAGACCGUUUUAAAUCAGAAGAUUUUUCCUCAUCUGCCUUCAAAUAAAAAUUUACAACCAGUAUCUAUUUUAUUUUGCGAUAAUGACAAACAUUCUGGGCAAUUUAAACCUAAUCCUUUCAGUUUCUUUAAGUUUGAGUAAAGCUACGUUAAAGCGUUCUGGUCAAUAUUUUAAGCUAGGUUGUCAUAUGUUAUGACAAUAAAGCAAAAGAAAAGAAAAAGGAAACGUGUGUAUCAUCUCGAAGUUGUUCCUUUUGCAUUAACCCAACUGUUAGUUAAUUAAUGUGGUACUUCUAGCACUAAUGACGAGACUUCUUCCAUUUGUAAAAAGUAAACUUUUAACUUCAAAUCUUUUUCUUCAAAGGGAUUUCCAAAUCGAAACCUAUUAAACUUAAACAAGUUUUAUCUGCAGAGCCUUGGUAGAUUCAUUCCCUUCAGGUUUUAUUAACAGUAUUGGGAAAUAUAAUGUAGGCACUCACUACGACAAGCUCCACACCUCGGUGAUCAUGAUUAUCCUUCCCAUUGUAACUUGCGAGAGAACGUCUUAAGGUUUAUUCAUUGUAGUGAAGGCUCUCAUGUUUGUCUUUUUCAAAGGUCAUUUUAAAAACCUUAUGAACUUUCUCUUGAUAUAUAUACAGAAUUGAUAAGGUCAAUUAUGAUAAGUUAUGACGAUGCUGGCAAUGUAUCUGUUAAAAUUAAUAUUGUCAUGCUAACAUUUUAAAGCAAAACAGAUUAGCUUUAUACAUAUCCUUGUUCUUCUUAUUGCUUAAAUUUAGUUGUCUGUAAUUCAUGCUUUGUACAUUAUUUCUGAAACAUGAUAAAUUGAAUCAAACGUAACAUAUUUUUACAAAUUUUCCAAAAGUAAAUUUUUAUGCAAGAAUGUUCCUUACUUAACUAAUAAUCCAAACUAUGCCCAUAAUUUUAAUAUUUGGAACACGAUGUGUGGAAUGUAUUAUUAACACAAGGGUUUUCAAUGAUUUGUAUGAAGGCAUUUUGUCCAUGGUAUUUCAUUACAUUUUUGAAUUUUUUAUUAUAUUUAUGAAGAAAGAAGAUUUUGAUUUGGUUAUUUUUAAUGACCUCCAUUCUGCAAAAACUUUAUUUUGGUGCUAAAUAUGAAGAAAGAAUAAUGAACAUUCUAAUUAUUGCUUUAAUAAGUUUCAAUCUAUAAAAAACAUUAUGAUGGUGUUGUGUUGUCUUAUUGCUGGUUUGAUUACACCCUUGAUGAUAAAGAUUUUAAUGUAUUUUAUGUUGUCAUUUAUUCCCCUUUUUCGAUCAAUGCGAUCAAUACUUAACGUCUAUCCUGUAUGUCACAGAGUCGGUUUUAUGGCGUUUCAAUGCUUAAAGGGCGUAAAAAGGCGUUGGCUUCCAGCAGGGCUCCACCCUGGACCUGUUGGGGGCUCACAACGCCCCCCAAACCCCCAGUUGGUUAAUAUCGCACCUCCGGUGUGAUGUUGACCCUGCGGGUCAAUGGUUUGAGUAAGAUAUAUUUUUUUCUUGCUACGCCCCUGCAGCCCCAGCUAGCUAGCUAGCAAACAGAUAUACCAUCAUGACAAAAAUAAACUGAAACUCUGCUCUAAACUUUGAGAAUGAACACCAUAAUUGUUUAGAGCACGUACAAAAAACACUGUGCAAAAAGAGACAGGAAAAUAAUCAGUACUUACUCCAGAUAUUUAGCCAUUUUUGUUUUUUGUUGUACAGUAUGUCGAAGAAUUUUUUUUAAGCUAAAACAUAGAAUAAAACAGUAAAUUCUGGGAAAAAACUUUAUGAGUAUGUAAAGAAAUCAUUUUCAAAUAGAAUUCUUGGAAAUUCAACACAAAAAUAAACAAAACUGGAACUAAUUGAGUGUACACAAUCUUACGUUUCCAGAGAACGUGAAAUCUUACCUUUUCACGUCUUCGCCGAACUUCUUUGAAAAAGUUUGGUCAUACCCCUUGACAUAAGCAUGCGCACUACGAAAUUUUCUGGUGUUUACGUCGCCGUUUGCGUUCCCGUCUUUGUAUCGUAAGCUCUCUAUUAACCGUCCCGGUAUUUCUACCCCUAAAGUCCAAUAUCAACAUUUAGCUAGAACAAUAGCUAGUUAUUGCAUUUCUUUAUUGUAUUAAAUUUCACCAUUUAGUGUGAACCCCCGGUCUUACGACGAUACAGUUCGCUCCGUCAAGGAAAUCGACUUCUUUCUGUUUCGCCACAUUCGAAAUGUUUGAAAUGAAUUGAAAGAAGGAAAAAUAUUAUAUUUUUGUCUUCAUUCAAAUCAGUUUUCAAAACACAGAGCGUCUACGCUAUUCAGCACAGAAUUCCCAUUUCAUUCGCUGCCGGUUAGCCGGUUGUUCUCUUCGUUUACUGAGUAAAAAAGCCUGUGGUUUAAAAAUAACAACAAUGAAUGGAAACCAGGUCACCCAUUUUGUAGCGAGAUGUCGGAAACACACAUUCGAUACCCAUUUCAUUAACAAGCAUCCAAGAAGGUUUUUUAAAACAGUUUUAGUUAAAUGGCGUCUUCUGAUGAUGAAGAUUUGAGGCCAUUUCAAAGGUUUGUUUUAAUUUUUACCGCUUCUUUUAUCAAAGUUUCAUUUUCUUUCUGUCUUAUUCUUUCAUUCGUGACUUUAACUCGGAAAAACUUUCGGCAGAAUUUUUUUCAACCUCAAAUGUUCUAAUUUGUUUUUUCCACAAAAAAGGCGAAUUUAUGGUCAGAUUUAUGGAUAAUGAUGAAUACAGGAUUGGCAGAAGUAUGUCGAAGUUAUUUAAUUGUAAAAAAUUAUGUCUGGUACACUUUUUUUAUAAGAACAAUGAGGCCGAGAUUUGCUGAAAAAUAAGAACAAAAUAAGAACAAUGACAAGGCUGAAAUUAUACUGAUAUUCUAUUUUUCCCUGAAAAUCAGAAAACAUGGGUAAAUCUGUCAAAAAGCAGAAAUUUUCACAAAAUUUAUUAUUGUGACUAUGCGAAACUUUUACUACUCAAAAAAGUGUAGUAGCUAAAAAGAAAAAAUAACUGUUCCAAAAAUAGUAGUAGUUAUAGAAAUUCUAUACUCGCAUUACACUUUCUUUUUUUAUAAGAACCAGGAAAUUUGGCUUCAGCCUGAAGUGUUUUUAUUUUUUUCAGUUAUUCAGCCUUGCUAUAAUCUUAUUUUUCAGCAAUUCUCAGUCUCAUUGUUCUUAUAAAAUUGUUCUUAUAAUUUUAAAGGAAAUUCAGGUUGAGUACGUUCUUAAUAUGAUUGUAACUUUUUGCAGAAUCGCAGCCUCGACGUUCUUAUAAACUAUAGUUCAGAGAGUUACCUCCUUUGUUGACUAGCAGAGUCUUGUCAAUUGAGGUAAAAGGUUGGUUGUAUGAGGCCUGUGUAAGAAGUGUUAUGUUGUACGGUAGUGAGACAUGGGCAGUGAAGCAGGAAGAUCUUGACCGUUUAGAAAGGAAUGAUAUGAGAAUGGUUAGGUGGAUGUGUAACGCCAGUCUGAGAGACAGAAAGAGUUCAGAUGAGCUAAGAACCAGGCUAAGUAUCCGUAGAAUUAAAGAUGUUAUCCGGAUAAGAAGAUUGAAUUUGGCUGGGGCACUUGGAAAGAAUGGAGGAGGAUAAUUGGGUAAGAAAGUGUAGAGACUUGAUAGUUCCUGGGGCAAAGCUCAGAGGCAGACCGAGAAAGACUUGGCAGGAGGUUAUAAGGACAGACUUGAUACAGAGGAAGUUGAGUUUAGAUCUAACACAGUCUAGAUCAGAUUGGAAGAGGGUCAUUAAUAUACCCCGUCCAACCCAUGCUAGCAUGGAAAACGGACGUUAAGUCGAGAAUGAUGAAUGUCACUGUAUUAAUUUUUCAGGCUUUACCUAAAAAACUUCAGUCGUUGUCUUUUACAUCUGGUGCCACAUAGCCUCACCUGCCUUAAAAUAGUUCUUCGAAAAAUCGCAUUUUUGUAGCAUUAAACAAACGGGGUGGGUGGAGACGUGUCUAUGCACAUCCAUUAAUAAGGACUACAUCAAUACAGUAGGUGCAAUUGUUGGCACGUAUCAUCAACCAAAAGCAAAUCUCUGGCCACGUUGCUAUUGCGACUAUUCCUCGUCAUUAGUGACCCUGUCAUUUCAGGCUAUUAAUCGCUGCGUUCUGGCUCCUCGAAACUUAGGAGACCGUUUAAAUUUUUUGUCGAAGAGCUAUAGUUUAUUUUUAAUUUUGCUUUUCAUCGCGGUUUUUAUAAUGUAUAUAUAUAAAAAGAUAAUAUUUUUUUGAACAAUUAUUUAUUCUUUAUUUAUAGUUUAUUUAUAUUUUCCUUACUUUCAAGGCCAUUUAUCGUUUUCUCUGCUUUUUGUCUAGUUACAAUUUAGGUUGAUUCCAUAUAUCGUUUCUUAAUUUCUCCUCGAUUCGAGCGUUUCAAUUUCUUUCAAGCCUUUUCAGUUUUUCUGAUCGCGGUUUUCUUUUUUAUUUAAUGUAUAUAAAAAAAAAUUAUUUUUUGAACACUUAUUUAUUCUUAAUCUAUAAUUUUUUUCAUUUUUAUAUUUCAUUUUAGGGAGAAGAACAAUUUUGUACAAAAUUGAACCCAAAUAAAUGUUAAUAAUAAUAAUAAUAAUAAUAAUGUACAGGAGCCAAACUUUAAAGGUAACAUUCAAUUAGUUUGAUGACUCAGUUGAAGAUACCUCUCUUCAACAAGCUCUAGCCUACCAGUAAGUAAGUAAGUAAUUUUAUAUCUAAUGAUAACAUGUUAUAAAUACAUUCAUCUAUCAUUGUACUUUUACCAUACACUAUCAAAUUUUGCAUUGUAACAGUAUGAAAAGUUUCAUAUUAUUAUCAUUAGGUACCAAGAAGGAAGACAAUAGGAAAAAUAACAAAAGCUAGUAAAGAAAACCACUGUCACUCGAGAAAAGUGUUGUCAGGUCAGCAUUGUCAAAUACAUACUGAAAUGUACUGGAAGCAUCAAGAGGACAGGGGAGAAAAUAAAGCACAGAGACAGCACUAAAAACAUGUCAAUAAACAAUAUACAAUACACACACUUCACAAACACAAAGACUAGCCUUGAUGAUUUACUACUUGACAUAUGAUUAUCCCGACUGUUGAUGAAAAUUUAAUUUGUGAUGUUGAUUUUAUGGAUUCUUCAGAUGCAGCGUUAAUCCUAGACGUAAAUUUGAAACAUGCUUUGUUAGUGUUUUUUCGAACAAUUUACAAUAGGUAAUGUAACCCUGGUAAUGAUUUGGCAAUCCUAGUUUUAGCACUAUAUGAUCCUAAAGUUAUGGUGUUGAUACGAGGAAUGAAUAAUAAUUUAAAAUGCGAUGAUUUUGUACAGUGUUUAUGUCUAUAUUUAACAGGAGAGCAUAAACUUUGAAACACAGAUGGAAUAUUGUUUUUAUAAUAGUCAAAAGCUAAAAAACAUUUUUUCAGUCUCAUCAGCUCAGUGGUAGAAUAUUAGACUCAAGGUAAAAUGGACUAGUAGAUUCCCAACAUUUUUUGAAGUGAAUAAUCCUUAAUGCCUUGUUUUAAAGAGAUUGAAUUCUGUUUUUUUUUUCAAGGAUGAUAAAACCCCAAAUGUGACAGCUGUAUAUACAUACGUAUGUGAGAUCACUGUGAAAGAUGGCAUGGUAAAUGGAGCACUAUGUAGGAUAGGUCACAUAAUAUCUGAUUUUGGCCAGCAUACCAGUAACUGAAAGAAAUUACUACCAAAACUUUAAACAAAGAAAUCUGUCAACACAAACAGAAAACAGAACAAGUGAUGAUGGAGAGAUAGUGAUUUUCAACACAGUCAACAACUAGCAUGGAAUAAUCAACCAACAAGCUAAUAACAGACUCAAUCAUUGUUAUGUAGUUACUCUUGAAGAGAGUUAGCUACCUUAAGGGAAGUAAUUUUCGCGGUUUUCGCGGAUUUUUUACCAUUUCCGCGAAAAUAAAAUCCCGCGAAAAGUCUGGGAAGGCCUGAUCCGCGAAAAUAAGUUCCCGCGAACUACGUAGAGAACUUCCAACCGCGAAAAUAAAUUCCUGCGAAAUUUUUCAAAAAAAAUCGAAUUCCUAAUUUUUUAAUAUAGAUAGCGAGUUGGAAUACGAAGAUGAUGACGGAAAUAUUUUUAGCAUUCUACAAGAUGACUUCGACAAUGAUGAAUAAUUGUAAUUAAGAAAUUGUUAAAAACGUUUUUCCAAGAUAAAAAACCUUUUAAAAUUCAUAAAUUUUCUUCGAUUCCUUCUUUAGAAAUGUAUACCUAAACUUCGCAUUCCCAGUGUUCGAUUAUACAGAAGUUUUAAAGUGAAAAACACAUAUUUCCUGAUUUUACAUAUCCGCGAAAUUCUUUUAAAGGUUCAACCGCGAAAAUUAAUUCCCGCGAAAUUUUUCAAACUCUUUCAACCGCGAAAAUUAAUUCCCGCGAAAUUUCCUUUGCUGAGAGAUCCACGAAAAUUAAUUCCCUUUUUUUCCGCGAAAUUCAAGGAAGGGCCGUGUCCGCGAAAAUUAGUUCCCGCGAAUAUUAAUUCCUUAAGGUAUAUAAUAUCGCUAACAAUUUUGAAUAUGGAAUCUUUGGCAGAAAAACACUAUCUAUAGCUAACUAGCUAACUAAGUUUUGUAGGCUUUCGAAAUUUUUCAUAUCUCUGACACGUUAUCUUCACCCUGGCCCUUUUUUCUAGCUAGCUAUAAUAUAACCCAGUUAAAAAAGCUUAUAUCCUUAGCUAUGCUUCGAACAAAUUAAUUUUAGCUUAGCUUUCUGGACAGAAAAUUAUUAAAAGGUUAUAAAAAAUUAUCAAGAAGUCAUAUUUAUCAAUAAGAAUUAGGCUUUACCCUUAUAAAUGAUUGAAUGAUAAAAAAGUUGCUGUGAUUUCUUCGAGAAUUUGCCACUGUUUACCUUAAGUAAUGGCUACUCCUGAAACCGAAAAACGGUCGACAAGUGUGGUGGCGCUAAUUGAAUUUUUAACGAAAUUGGCGUUUCUACAUUCGCUCCAUAGUGCAUAAAACAACAAAACAUGAAAUUCAACAAAACCAGUCGUUUUGAAAGUUUUAACUGUCAAGGUCUUCUUGAUUUAACAAAAACAGAAACGACAUGUGAAGAUUUUAUCAGAUACAAACUAACCACUCUCGCAGUACAAGAAACUUAUAUAAAAGGAUCCGGUAUGAUAGCGCUUAAAUCAGUUAAAAAGAAACUACAUCUUUUUUAUUCUGGUAGCAAAGAUAAAUCCAGCAGAAGUGUAGCUGUAAUCGUGGAGGAUGGACAUAAAGCCGACUUUAAACCAAUAUCAGAUUGAGUAUGUUUCCUAACAAUUGCCGUCAAAAAUGACUACAAGCUACAUAUCAUCAGCGCUUAUGCUCCUACAAUGAAAACAACUAAACAAAACCCAGAAGAAACAAAUAAAUUCUAUAACAGUCUCGCAUCUGUAUUAAAAUUACCACAACCCAAAGAUAUAGUGAUAAUCGGAGGUGACUUUAAUGCCAAAACAAAACUGUCAGACAAUCAUUUACAAAACGUAUACAACAAAACAGUUGGCAAAUACUCAAUCGGAUCGAUAAAUGAAAACGGUCAAUUACUCCUUGAAUUCGCAAAAAUGAACCAGGUAAAAACUAUCUAAGACUUUUUAUAAACAUAAACCUUCUCACCUUACAACCUGGGAAAGUCCAGAAAGAACAAAAGAUCACAUCGACGCGAAAACCAACACGAUAGGACAAAUCCAUACAGGAAUCAAAUUGACUUUAUAUUAGUGAAAGAAAAUCUAAGCAUUACAACUUAUAACUCCAGAUCCUACAACGAAAUGAAAACGAAAUCAGAUCACAAAAUUGUAAUAACCGACAUAAGAGUAAAAUUAAGACUUAACAAGAAAUUUGUACCAAAAAGCAGAAUCAACAUAAAAAACAUCAAUAACUAAGAACUUAGAACACAAUAUGAAAACAAACUUAAACAACAUAUAAAUGCCAUACCUGAACAAAACACAAAUCAGGAAAGAUGGAGUAUCAUUGUAGAAACGAUCAAAGAAACAGCAACAGAGGUGAUAGGAGAAGUAGAAAAAUAAAAAAGAUAAUACAAUCCCGAAAUGCAAAGAUUAUCAGUUAGACAAAAGAAAUUGCACAUAGAUCGAAACUCCACAAACGAUAACAACUAAAAGAAAGGCAUUACGAAAAGAAAGAAAUGUAAUACUGACGAGAAAGCGUAACAUCAUAAAAUAUGUACAAAAGGAAAAGUUAGCCAGCACACUGAAAGAUCUAGAGAAUACACCCAUUGACUCAAGAAAAAUUAUAAAGCAGUUAAAGGACUUAAAAGACCAACACCAAAACAAUCCUUACUCAUACAAACUGAAUAAGGGCUAACUUCCAAUGAAAAGCAACAAGCAGAAAUUAUAUCAAAGUAUUUCAAAAAUCAGUUCUAUAAAAAUGCAGAACCGCUUCCAAUUAUUAGGCCAGCGAAAAUGAUAUUCCUUUCACAACAGAAGAAAUAAGGAAAGCUACAAGUAAAAUAUAUUAUGUGCAUUACAAAAACCUGGUAAACCGAAAGGUCCACCUCAAAAUUUGAGACCAAUCAUCCUUCUUUCAGUUAUACGAAAAAUAAUUGCCAUAUGUUUAACCGAAAGAAUUGGUAUGAAACUAGAUGAUACAUCCUACCUAGCCAAGCAGCAUACCGUAAAGGCAGAAGUACAACUGAACAUGUCUUUGCAGCUAAACUAGUGGUAGAUCGAACAAUUACAUCGAAAUCCGAAAGCGAGCACAUAGUCAUGCAUGAUAUGAGCAAAGCUUUUGAUUCAAUCGACAGAAAAUCUUUGAUCACUGAUUUACAAAUGAUACUUCAACCAGACGAACUUCAUCUUGUCUAUAAACUUAUCCAAGUGGAAUUAGCAGCAAAAAUCGGAAAACAUACCACUACAUUCUUUAACAGACACCGGAGCCCCUCAAGGUGAUUGUAUGUCAACGAAUGAGUUUACUUUCUACUUAGCCAAAACCUUGGAAAACAGACAGGAAGAUCAUUACUAUUGUAAAUCAAGUAAUGCAGUACGAUACCACCUUCAAGAACUACACUACCGUAAGACCAGACAAACGUCACAUUUAUAUAAAUCUUGAAUAUGCUGAGGACAUAAGUAUGAUAACAUCUAAUCCACUCGAAACUGAGAAGAUGAAACAAGAACUACCAGCUAAACCUAAAAGCAGAAAUCUAAUUAUGAAUGCCGAAAAAACAGAAGAAUAUUACGUCAGUAGAUCGAGCUAUAACUGGAAAAAAUGCAAAUUAUUAGGCAGUUUUUUAGACACGAACGAAGAUAUAACCAGACGUAAAGGUCUAGCAAUUUAUUCAAUAAACAAAAUUAAGGAUAUCCUAACAAAUAAGAAAGUAACGAUAAAAAUGAAAAUGAAAACAUUUGAUACCUACGUCACGCCAAUAUUCCUCUACAAUGCAGAAAUAUGGACACUCAAUAAGAAAAAAGAGCUUGAGAUUGAUGUAUUUCAACGCAAACUUGUACGAACGAAUGUGUUGAAUGUAAAAUGUCCGGAAACAAUUACAAACGAUAAAUUGUAUCGAGAAACAGGAAUAAAACAGACAGUAGAGUUAAGUAUUUAAAAACAGAAGAAUGAGAUAGUUUGGACAUGUUAUAAGGCUACCGGAUAACACACCUGUCGAAAUAGUCCUUGACUAUGCUGAAGAACAGUAUGAAAGACCACGUGGAAGACCUAUUUCGACAUGGCUUUUCAUGAUGAAGAAACAACUCAGGGAAGAGCAUGGCCUCUCUUGAAAAGAGGGCAUGCACAUUGGCUAUGGACCGAGACGUAUGGCAGAAAUAUAUAUAAAUAAAAAAAAUUAUAUGCACGCAUUAUGUAAAUUUAUUUUACGGAAUAAUGCUUUAUAAUGAUUACCUUAACGGCUUUAAAAUUUAUACUUGUAAACACCAUACUCAAGCAUGCCAGAUAUCAUCUCAACGGAUGCAUAUAAGACACAUUCCCGUGUCUAUAGUUUUUAGACACAUAAAAUAGUGGACACCGAUUUCACAGCACAAUCAAGGCAGAUAAACAUGCAUCUGAUGAAUAUGAAAGGUCGAGGUUGAAAAGUAUAUUACCACCAUUAGUAUUUUAGCCUUUAGAAAAAAGCUCCUUGGUAAUCACUCUGUUGAAUGUCAGAUCUUUAUCGAGACAUGCUAUUGACAUUCAGCACGAUGAGGAAUUGAGAGAAUCGGACAUAUUAUGUCUAACUGAAAUCCAAUUGUUACCUGACCAUGACAUGACAGAAAUAUCAGGUCAACUUCCUAUGUUUGAUGUUACUCCUAAUUCUGAUGUAGACAAAUUUAAAAGUAUUGCAGUGUGCUACAGAGAUUGUUUUCCUUUUAUUUACCGAUAAUCCUGGUUUCUCUUUAGUACAAGUUAGGAAACGUUCGUUUGCAGAGGAACUUAUUUCUAUAGGAUUUUUUACCGGUCAAAUUUUUCAUCUUUAUCAUCUUUUUGUGAUGACCUGUGUGAGCGUUUGAAUGCACAGGAUUUUCAUAUUUUGUUAGGAGAUUUUAAUGUUGAUUAUUUCAAUCCAGGCUCAUAUCGACUUGCAGAAGUAUUAAGUAACUAUACUAUGGUUGUGCAAGUGCCAACUCAUAUUGACGGUUCUCUUCUUGAUCAUCUUUAUAUUAAUAAUAAUGUAUUUGACCAUGCAGAAAUUGAAACUGUAAUAAAAUGUGAAGAUCAGGCCGUAAAGAUCAGGCUGACCUGUUGAUAAAUAUGACAAAGAGAAGCAAAUUAUAAAAAUGACCAUGUGUAUUUAUCAGCAAAGAAAGAAAUUAGCAAUUAGCGAAGAAAAUGGAAUAAUUUAAAAGUAACUGCAAUAUAUAUGUUUGUGGAUAGCCACAAUGGUAAGAGCGGGAGGGGGGAGGGGGUUCUUUUCUUGUUUGCAUGUGUAUGUUUUCAUAGGAACUUUCAGACUCAGAGUGUGUUGUUUACAGUAAUAAAAUAAAACAAGAAGCCCAGGGGCUUGAAGAUUUUAAAAUUUGAAGUUUGAUCUUGAAAACGGAGAAAUAUGGGGUAAACAAAUCAUUGAGUAUUCUCAACUCUUAUUGUAACUAACCUGCAAUGUUAAAAUUGUACAGAAAGAAAGAAAUGACGUAACAUCAAAGAUGGCGCAUUAUAAGACGAUCUUCCUUAUGCUACACUGCACGAGCUUUAACUUUUGAUAGCAUAUAAACCUUAAAAUAAAGUAUUGUUCAUUGGAUAAUAAAACAAUCUGUUGCACUGUUAGGAUUCUUAUUGGCUUAAAACUCAUUUUAGCCUCGUUCUCAGAAAAAAAUCUUUAGCCUGGAUAAGUUUCGGGCGUCCAGCCUAGCUGCGCUGUCUCUAUCUAUCUCCCUAUCUCUCUAUCUCCUCAGGCGAUUUUAAAGAUUCCGCCUUCGCUGGCGGAAAUCUAUAAUAAGUUUAUUAAUUGUUUACAAAAGAGCAAAAGAGAGUUUGAAUUUCUUAUGCAAAACAUGUACUUGCUCAAUAUUUUGAAUUAUUUAUUUUUUUGUAUUUUAUCUGUAUCUUUUUUAUUUUUGUAUAUAUUUAUAUAAUAUAUAGAAGGAAUAUUUUUUCAUUAAUAUGAUUUUACAAUUUUUUUUAAAUAAAUUAUUGGAUGUACAAAUACAUCUUGCAUUUUAUGAGCUUCCAUUUUUUGUGCACUUCUAAAUCUUUUAACUCUAAGAGGCAGUAUUAUUGCGACUCUUUUCUUUCCUUCUAAAUUAAUUUAAUGCACUUUUUGCUUGUUAUUUCAUUUAUUUUAAGUCUAUUUUAAGAGCAGUCGUUAUGGAUCAUGGAUUGAAAGUAGAGUUGAAUUGCAGGUUAUACCAUGUAACAGAAUGAAGAAUCAACUGAGAAAUUGAUUUUGUAAUAUGGUCCUUCAAACCCUAUGCUGCUGUGUGGCGCAAGUGCAAUGUUAUUAAUAAUGAAUGAACCGUGUACAGACACUAUUGGGUACAUAAACUAUUUGUUCCGGAUAUAUAAUUUUCUCCCCUCAACAACAAAUAUCCUCUGUGAAAUCAAAGUGCUAUAUCAAAAGAAACCUGGACCAGCUAUUGCGGAGAAUAUUUGUUGUUUUCUCAACUCUACGCAUUUUUAUGUGAGAAUAAUUUUUACUUCAUUUAACAUGCACACACAUUUUCAAAACUACCCAGUCUAUCUUAAAGUUGAAUCAUGUACUUUCGCAUUUAAUUUGUGUUUAUAUAAUUGAUGCGGCAAGGUUUUCGACUAAGACUGAUGUGUGAUGUUUUCUGAGUCAUAAUGUCAACUUUUAGUUAUUUUUGUUAUUCUUCCACGUAGCUACAAUGUCUCUCGUUCUCUAUGCUUAGUUAUUGUAAAUAUUUUGGAAAUAUAUGCAUUUUUUGAAUUUAUUGAACAUAUUAUAUUUAUUUCUUUACAGUUUUUUGUAUUUUGUGAUAUAGUGCAAUGUUGUAAAAUUUGUAGAUGUACGUUGGGUGGUGAAAAGACUUCUGUUGAAAACAGCGAGGAACUGCAUGCUUAACCGGAGAUGGUGAUUAAUAUGAUGGCUAAAAGGAAUGUGCAUACCACAAGAUGUGAUAAACAAUAAAAUGAUUUCAUGUUUACGGUUUCAUUUCCAUAAUACAAUAUCAAAUUAGUACCAUUCACUGAACAAUUUUCUUCGUAUUUUAGAUCACAUUUGGGAAGAAGUACGCUAACUUUACGGUAACAAAAAGCACCAUGACAUAAUUAUUUAUUCAUCUUGUUAAGUUUAACACGAUGCUAAACAAGCAGAAUUCUUCCAUAUUGUAUUCCGUUCAUCAUUCGAAGAAAAAAAACAUGGAGCAUAUAUCCCUGCUCGCUUUACGUACCAUUAGUAUUCUACAACUGUUAAAUCCGCAUAUAACUUCGACCGGUAUAAUUUGAAGACCACCGUAUUAUAAAAAAAACAUCCAGUGCUUUCUCGUUACUCCAAGACCGAUAACACCACAGCGGUGUAGCGUGAAGCCUAUUAAAAUGUAUUACGAAUGAUUGUUUCACAGUCUGGAAUAAUCUACAUUAGUUUUCUGCCGCCUAACUGGACAGUAUUGACUCCCAACUUGCAACAUAUUUCACCAACUUCGAAGAACAAAACGCACAUUCUCAAGAACAUUGAUUGUACGCCAUUGUUGAUGCAUACAACUGCAUAAACUAAACCGCCACAAUGAAAUCUUUACGAAAACUCUAUUUUCUAAUCGUUAAUAAAACAACUGUAAUCAAUAAA